UCUAUUUUAUACGAGUGGUUAAUUGUUAUUCACCUUCUGUAGUCAAUCACAUUGUCCUGCAAUAAACUUUUUGGGUCCGUUUUCUUCGAAUUGUGCCGUAUUCAUUCUACUUAUGUCAAGAUUGUGAUUGCAGAACACUUGAUUAUAGGUAUGUAAAGUUUCAAUCACAAGAUAAUCGGGUUAUAUUUUCCCAUGGGUGGUUUCUGGUAUAACAGGCAAUCUCAGCCUGUAGGACCGUAGUCGUUCAUGUUGACACGAAAUGGUUAGAGGCAACUACACGUGCAAAAAGACCGGUUUAGCGACUUGGUAUACCAAAUAAUGUGGCAAUCUUUGCAUAGAUAUUUAAAGAAGCAGUGCAUGUGGCAUUCUUCGCAAGAAUACUUAGCGUCUCUAUGAAUGGUAAAGUACAAGUUAGCUACAUCCAUUUAAUCUUUGCUGCUCGGUAUUACGAGUUUAAAGUGUCAUAGCCAUGUUCUUCUAGGCAAUACAUCUUUAUUAAUUUUAUCCUCAAGUGAAGGCUGCAACCUCCUAAUCUCAAGUCUCAAUUCAGCCUGCUGCUAAAGUGUUUGUACCUCAGGCUUCAGUUUCCAUCAGUCUUCUGCCAAAACAUUUGUACCUCAGGCUUCGGUCUCAUCUUUCUGACACAUUAAGAUCUGCAGUGCUGAGGCUAAGCCUUCAUGAUAGCUUUUUGAUGUGGAUGUGACUUUAUACUUUCAUCUGCACAUUAUUUUUCCUUUGUUUGAAUGUGAUAUGCCUGUGUAUAAGUUAUCGAGACUCUAGGUUAAGAGUGUGACAUGAUUCAGAUCUCAUGUUGCUACGUAGUUCUCACAGGACGUCUUGAUCUUGAUGCAACUAUUGCUGGAAUAUCUCCCACCAUGGUGGAUGUUCCAUUUAGAGAACAAGUCCAUACUUGUAUCUUGCCCUGUGAGAUACGUGUUUAAGGGCUGUUAUCUCAUAUCAUUAUUCAUUGAAGCAUGCACAAAAUUUGUUUCUGAAUAUAUCCCUAACCUUCAAAAUCUUGGUCUACAGUUGGUAGUAGAUAUGUGGAUGCUAUUGAUUUGUAUGUUGUAUUUGACAUGAUUUGGUGGGUUGCACCCUCUUGGGUACCGUAGUGGAGAAUGUCCCUAAAUUGAUGAUCAUCCUGCCAGGGGGAAAACUGCAAAGAAAAGAGAAAUUGAAGAAUCUCUUUAUCUUUGAUUGAGUGGCAAUGACAUAUCCAAAAUGGUGAACUAUCAAGCAUCAUGCCUGUUAAAGAUUUUUUUUUUUGGGAUGUUAGAUUCUUCUCCUAGAUGAUAGAGUAGAUAUCGCCUUCUUGAUGUAAAGACCUUGAAAGUUUGGAUAGUGGGGCCAUUGUGGAGCUUGUAGCUCCUAUAUCUAGUUUAUAUUUGCUAAUGACAUCUUAUUGCUUUUAAGAGUGAAGCAUCAAAUAGGUAUAAUUUAAAGAAGAGUUCUAUGUGGGAUAUGUUUGGCAGAGUAAAGAUACAGGUAUACUGUGAAGAACAUCACAAAUACUAUAGACUGAGGGUGUACACAAUAGAUGGAUGCAUCUUUUACUCAGAUGAUCUUUCUAAUUUUUAUUUCCUUUUGCCAUUAUAUGUGAGGAAUUCCUCUUCAAUUUUGUUUGUUGUCUGGGUUGACUUCACUUUCAUUAUUUUAGUUAAUGCAAUCUCACUCUUUGUUUUCUGCAUUAACUUUAUCGAUUGGUCUUAGAGCUUCACCUGCUGAUUGCAUGCACUGAGUUCAGUGAAUGUAUUUUUCCUUUGUUACCUAUUUUGUAAGUCUGUUGUUCAUUUGCAGUUCCUCAAAACAAUGUCCUGAAUGCUCUCACAGUUCUGUACGGCACUUUUGUUGGUGGAACGAUAUAUAGCGAAUCCUAUACAAGCACAUGGAAAUGCCGUUGGCAGAAGGCGAGCAAUGAUAUUACUAAAACACAAUUUUGAAAAAAAUUUUGCUGAGACGCACAAUAAAGGGAAGAGCUGCUGAUCUUGCACUUCCACCUAGAAUUGCGAGUUCUCUUGCAUAUGUGUACAAUUGCAAUUCGGCAUGUCGAAGAUUUUUAACUUAAAUCCACCGCUUCCUGCUCUCUUUUCUUUCCCUGCAGGUUACUUUGAGGCGGGAUACACUGGACAUUAGAGAAGAGGAUUAUUACACAUCAUUGUACAAUGAGAGCCAAUCUAACCUUGUGCGGUGUGCAUAUUGAUUGGUAUUUCACUUUCUUCUUUGGGCUUGUGGGACUUUGAGUAUCGCAUUGUAUGUCAACAAGUGAAUGUCACUUCUUUGGAGGAGGUGAUGAAACACUUCAUGCAAACCUUAUUGAAGAAAGCAUAGUGGGGCGCAAGAUUGAAAGUAUCUUUUCAUACAUAUCGGGGAUAAGCUUUGCUUCAGCAUCUUCAGUGCCAGAAGUGCAGUUGGCCCAAUAUGUUCCUGCCUUGGAAAGAAUUGCCAUCCUGAGGUUGCUUAAGCAAGUGCUUUAAAGUGCUCAAGAUUAUUUAUUCUCUCAUUAUGUGUACUAUAAAGAAAAAUAUAUAUGUCAUUCUUGUGGAAAAUGCAGAUGAAUGUAUUUCAUUUUCAUAUUAUUAUAAUAUUUUGAUGUUAUUAAGUGCUUAA